GGCAGUUUAGCUUAAUUGGCAAAGCAUUUGACCAGUAAUCACAGGGAUGUGAGUUCGAGUCUUAUGGCUGAUU
rnacentral:tRNA from 1 species